CUUCCGUUCGGGUGCCGCCUUCGGCUCGUCCGGCUUCCGUUCCGGCUCGUCGAAGGCCGGACGGGCGUGGUGCCAGGGCGCGUCGGAGGA
rnacentral:tRNA from 1 species